rnacentral:rRNA from 1 species
GACGAACGCGGCGGCGUGCCUAAUACAUGCAAGUCGAGCGAAGUUUUUCUGGUGCUUGCACCGGAAAAACUUAGCGGCGAACGGGUGAGUAACACGUAAAGAACCUGCCUCAUAGACUGGGACAACUAUUGGAAACGAUAGCUAAUACCGGAUAACAGCAUUAACUGCAUGGUUGAUGUUUAAAAGUUGGUUUUGCUAACACUAUGAGAUGGCUUUGCGGUGCAUUAGCUAGUUGGUGGGGUAAAGGCCUACCAAGGCGACGAUGCAUAGCCGACCUGAGAGGGUGAUCGGCCACACUGGGACUGAGACACGGCCCAGACUCCUACGGGAGGCAGCAGUAGGGAAUCUUCCGCAAUGGGCGAAAGCCUGACGGAGCAACGCCGCGUGAGUGAAGAAGGAUUUCGGUUCGUAAAGCUCUGUUGUUAGGGAAGAAUGAUUGUGUAGUAACUAUACACAGUAGAGACGGGACCUAACCAGAAAGCCACGCA